GAUGAAGAACGUAGUGAAAUGCGAUAAGUAAUGUGAGUUGCAGAAUUCAGUGAAUCAUCGAAUCUUUGAACGCACAUUGCGCCCGCCAGUAUUCUGGCGGGCAUGCCUGUUCGAGCGUCAUUACAACCCUCAGGCCCCCGGGCCUGGCGUUGGGGAUCGGCGGAGCCCCCCGUGGGCACACGCCGUCCCCCAAAUGCAGUGGCGGUCCCGCCGCAGCUUCCAUCGCGUAGUAGCUAACACCUCGCGACUGGAGAGCGGCGCGGCCACGCCGUAAAACACCCAACUCUUCUGAAGUUGACCUCGAAUCAGGUAGGAAUACCCGCUGAACUUAAGCAUAUCAAUAAGCGGAGGA
rnacentral:misc_RNA from 1 species